GGGGAAUCUUAGACAAUGGGGGAAACCCUGAUCUAGCCAUGCCGCGUGAGCGAUGAAGGCCUUAGGGUUGUAAAGCUCUUUCAGCUGGGAAGAUAAUGACGGUACCAGCAGAAGAAGCCCCGGCUAACUCCGUGCCAGCAGCCGCGGUAAUACGGAGGGGGCUAGCGUUGUUCGGAAUUACUGGGCGUAAAGCGCACGUAGGCGGAUUGGAAAGUUGGGGGUGAAAUCCCGGGGCUCAACCCCGGAACUGCCUUCAAAACUCCCAGUCUUGAGUUCGAGAGAGGUGAGUGGAAUUCCGAGUGUAGAGGUGAAAUUCGUAGAUAUUCGGAGGAACACCAGUGGCGAAGGCGGCUCACUGGCUCGAUACUGACGCUGAGGUGCGAAAGCGUGGGGAGCAAAC
rnacentral:rRNA from 1 species